AUUGAACGCUGGCGGCAGGCCUAACACAUGCAAGUCGAGCGAGCGGCGGACGGGUGAGUAAUGUCUGGGAAACUGCCUGAUGGAGGGGGAUAACUACUGGAAACGGUAGCUAAUACCGCAUACCAUCAGAUGUGCGCAGAUGGGAUUAGCUAGGAGGUGGGGUAACGGCUCACCUAGGGGACGAUCCCUAGGUGUUCUGAGAGGAUGAGCAGCCACAAUGGAACUGAGACACGGGCCAGACUCAUACUGGAGGCAGCAGUGGGGAAUAUUGCACAAUGCGCGCAAGCCUGAUGCAGCCAUGCCGAGUGUAUGAAGAAUGCCUUCGGGUUGUAAAGUACUUUCAGCGGCGAGGCGUUACCCGCAGAAGAAGCACCGGCUAACUCCGUGCCAGCAGCCGCGGUAAUA
rnacentral:rRNA from 1 species